rnacentral:pre_miRNA from 1 species
CAUAUACUCACUCCGUCCCAAAAUUCUUGUCUUAGAUUUGUUUAGAUAUUAAUGUAUCUAGUCAUGUUUUAGUAUUUUGAUACAUCCAUUUCUAGAAAAAUCUAAGACAAGAAUUUUGGGACGGAGGGAGUAUGUA